AGAGAGAGACAUGCGCGCAUAUCAAUAAGCGGAGGAAAAGAAACUAACAAGGAUUCCCUUAGUAACGGCGAGUGAAGCGGGAAGAGCUCAAAUUUGAAAUCUUCAAGGUUCUACCUUGACGAAUUGUAGUUUAUAGAAGUGUUUUCUGUUAGUGGAGUGGCAAAAGUUCUUUGGAAUAGGACAUCAUAGAGGGUGAGAAUCCCGUAUUUGGUCAUUCCUCCUAGCGUUGUGAUACACUUUCAACGAGUCGGAUUGUUUGGGAAUGCAGUCCAAAAUGGGUGGUAAAUUUCAUCUAAAGCUAAAUAUUGGCGAGAGACCGAUAGCGAACAAGUACCGUGAGGGAAAGAUGAAAAGAACUUUGAAAAGAGAGUUAAACAGUACGUGAAAUUGUCAAAAGGGAAGCGUUUGACACCAGUGUUGUUUUUCCGAAAAUCAAUUACGAAUGUUUUAGUUUUUGAGGAGUUAUGACUUCAUCGGCUUGCUUCUCUCUUUACGAAACUUUCUUAAUGCACUUUUCGGUUAACAAGUCAACAUCAAUUUCUUUUGUUGUAAAAGGGUAUGAGGAAGGUGGCUUUCUUUUCGGAGGAAGUGUUUAUAGCCUUGUGCCUCUGCAAUCGGAGAGAUUGAGGUCUGCAGCGUAGAUCCUUCGGGGUUAGAUACGUUUGUGCUAAGUUAUAGCUUUUCAUAGACAACUUGUUGACUAUGUUUAGUCUUGUAGCUUACUCGCUGAUGCUAUUUUACCUACGCUUAGGAUGUUGAUAGUCACAGCGUGUAC
rnacentral:rRNA from 1 species